UGGGGAAUCUUGCACAAUGGGCGAAAGCCUGAUGCAGCGACGCCGCGUGGGGGAUGAAGCAUUUCGGUGUGUAAACCCCUUUCGACUGGGACGCGGUACCAGUAGAAGAAGCCCCGGCUAACUACGUGCCAGCACGCGGUAAAACCGGUUACUCCUACGG
rnacentral:rRNA from 1 species